CACCAUCUCACAUCCAUCAGAAAAUCUCAUACUCUCUAAUAAAUUCUCACACCCAUCUGUAAGGUUUUGACACAUGACAAUCAUCGAGAAAAAAUCCAAGAGAUGCUUCACAUAGAAGGAUUCUUCGAAAUAUUUUUCUCGAUGAUUCUCUGAUGCGUCAUGCAGCUUCCCAUGGAGUAAUUUUUUUCCACCAGCCAUCAGUG
rnacentral:lncRNA from 1 species